rnacentral:misc_RNA from 1 species
UUAAGUUCAGCGGGUCUUCCUACCUGAUCCGAGGUCAACCUUGGGUAAAUAAGGCUUUUUAACGGCCGGAACCCGCAGCACGCCCUGAGCGAGAUGUAUUACUACGCUCGGAGUGACUAGCGAGCCCGCCACUGAUUUUAAGGGCCGCGAGACCGCGGGACCCCAAGACAAGCCGAGGCUUGAGUGGUUAUAAUGACGCU